CAUGAACGCUGGCGGCGUGCCUAACACAUGCAAGUCGAGCGAUUCUCUUCGGAGAAGAGCGGCGGACGGGUGAGUAACGCGUGGGUAACCUGCCCUGUGCACACGGAUAACAUACCGAAAGGUAUGCUAAUACGAGAUAAUAUGCUUUUAUCGCAUGGUAGAAGUAUCAAAGCUUUUGCGGUACAGGAUGGACCCGCGUCUGAUUAGCUAGUUGGUAAGGUAACGGCUUACCAAGGCGACGAUCAGUAGCCGACCUGAGAGGGUGAUCGGCCACUUUGGAACUGAGACACGGUCCAAACUCGUACGGGAGGCAGCAGUGGGGAAUAUUGCACAAUGGGCGAAAGCCUGAUGCAGCAACGCCGCGCGGGCGAUGAAGGCCUUCGGGUCGUAAAGCUCUGUCCUCAAGGAAGAUAAUGACGGUACUUGAGGAGGAAGCCCCGGCUAACUACGUGCCAGCCGCCGCCGUAACAC
rnacentral:rRNA from 1 species